CCUACGGGAGGCAGCAGUGGGGAAUUUUGGACAAUGGGCGCAAGCCUGAUCCAGCAAUGCCGCGUGAGUGAAGAAGGCCUUCGGGUUGUAAAGCUCUUUUGUCAGGGAAGAAACGGUGGGAGCUAAUAUCUCCCGCUAAUGACGGUACCUGAAGAAUAAGCACCGGCUAACUACGUGCCAGCAGCCGCGGUAAUACGUAGGGUGCAAGCGUUAAUCGGAAUUACUGGGCGUAAAGCGUGCGCAGGCGGUUUUGUAAGUCUGUCGUGAAAGCCCCGGGCUCAACCUGGGAAUUGCGAUGGAGACUGCAAGGCUUGAAUCUGGCAGAGGGGGGUAGAAUUCCACGUGUAGCAGUGAAAUGCGUAGAGAUGUGGAGGAACACCGAUGGCGAAGGCAGCCCCCUGGGUCAAGAUUGACGCUCAUGCACGAAAGCGUGGGGAGCAAACAGGAUUAGAUACCCUGGUAGUCCACGCCCUAAACGAUGUCUACUAGUUGUCGGGUUUUAAUUAACUUGGUAACGCAGCUAACGCGUGAAGUAGACCGCCUGGGGAGUACGGUCGCAAGAUUAAAACUUAAGGAAUUGACGG
rnacentral:rRNA from 1 species